rnacentral:rRNA from 1 species
UGCCAGCCGCCGCGGUAAUACGGAGGGUGCGAGCGUUAAUCGGAAUUACUGGGCGUAAAGCGCGCGUAGGCGGUUGUGUAAGUCGGAUGUGAAAGCCCAGGGCUUAACCUUGGAAUUGCAUUCGAAACUGCACAGCUAGAGUAUGGGAGAGGGAAGCGGAAUUUCCGGUGUAGCGGUGAAAUGCGUAGAUAUCGGAAGGAACAUCAGUGGCGAAGGCGGCUUCCUGGACCAAUACUGACGCUGAGGUGCGAAAGCGUGGGGAGCGAACAGGAUUAGAUA